CCUACGGGCGGCUGCAGUGGGGAAUAUUGGACAAUGGGCGCAAGCCUGAUCCAGCCAUGCCGCGUGAGUGAUGAAGGCCUUAGGGUUGUAAAGCUCUUUUGGCGGGGACGAUAAUGACGGUACCCGCAGAAUAAGUCCCGGCUAACUUCGUGCCAGCAGCCGCGGUAAUACGAAGGGGACUAGCGUUGUUCGGAAUCACUGGGCGUAAAGCGCACGUAGGCGGAUUUGUAAGUCAGGGGUGAAAUCCCGGGGCUCAACCUCGGAACUGCCUUUGAUACUGCGAAUCUCGAGUCCGAUAGAGGUGGGUGGAAUUCCUAGUGUAGAGGUGAAAUUCGUAGAUAUUAGGAAGAACACCGGUGGCGAAGGCGGCCCACUGGAUCGGUACUGACGCUGAGGUGCGAAAGCGUGGGGAGCAAACAGGAUUAGAUACCCGUGUAGUC
rnacentral:rRNA from 1 species